CACGCCCACAAAGCUGUCAGUGCCAGAGCCAGAGCCGCCAGAGGAUGACAGGUGUUUGGAAUGCCCAGACAGGUUAAGUAAACGCCACAGAGAGAUAGAAACACGUGCACGCUGGCCACACGUGCACGCCACACCAGAGCCCCCCCAACAUCAACGGAGACCGCGGACUUCCUGCCACCGAUAUGCUCUGCAACCCCCGCUACAGAUCCUUUAGAACAGUGCUUGUCAACCUUUUUUGAGCCAAGGCACAUUUUUGUCCAUUCAAAAAAAAUCCUGAGGCACACCACCAGCAGAAAUCAUAAAAAAACGAAACUCAGCAGCCGAUAUUGACAGUAAAAAAAGUAGUUCUCGCAAUUGUUGGACAUGAAUUCAAACCAUAACCCAGCAUAGCUCUUGUCUCAAAAUAGGUGUAUUGUCACUACCUGUCACAUCACAAUGUGACUUAUUGUCAAUACGUGGACUUUGGGGUUUGUUUUCCCGGAAUGCAAAGGAAAGUUGAAGCGGGCAAGGCGUGAAGCGGUGAAGAGAGGCGGAGCCGGCGAAGGAGCAGCGGGGUAGGGCACGCUAGAGCCCUGCCCAAGAUGGCGGCAAGGAGGCGGAGAAUGUGGCAGAGCGGAGAGGCGGGGCGUGCUGGGAACGACGCCGCAAUCUGAUUCAGGUGUGUGAAUCGCGCACCGGCACACGAUUGAUUCACGUAUCUCCUCACACUGUAUAAAAGGGGAGAGGGAGAAGAGAUCGGGGAGAAAGAGGAGAGUUCGCAGCAGUGACUGGAGAGCAAGAGGAAGCAAGACGCGAGACACGAAGAGCGAGCAGCGCAAGCGGCGACGGCGCGAAACUGUCUAUAUUGAAAAAUAAAUGAGAGUCAAACCUG